AUAUUGGACAAUGGGGGAAACCCUGAUCCAGCCAUCCCGCGUGUAUGAUGAAGGCCUUCGGGUUGUAAAGUACUUUUGGCAGAGAAGAAAAGGUAUCUCCUAAUACGAGAUACUGCUGACGGUAUCUGCAGAAUAAGCACCGGCUAACUACGUGCCAGCAGCCGCGGUAAUACGUAGGGUGCAAGCGUUAAUCGGAAUUACUGGGCGUAAAGCGUGUGUAGGCGGUUCGGAAAGAAAGAUGUGAAAUCCCCGGGCUCAACCUGGGAACUGCAUUUGUGACUGUAUAGCUAGAGUACGGUAGAGGGGGGUAGAAUUCCACGUGUAGCAGUGAAAUGCGUAGAUAUGUGGAGGAAUACCGAUGGCGAAGGCAGCCCCCUGGGAUAAUACUGACGCUCAGACACGAAAGCGUGGGGAGCAAACA
rnacentral:rRNA from 1 species